CUCAUCACCCUGUGACAUACCUAAAACGUUGCUUCGGCGGGAACAGACGGCCCUGUAACAACGGGCCGCCCCCGCCAGAGGACCCCUAACUCUGUUUUUAUAAUGUUUUUCUGAGUAAACAAGCAAAUAAAUUAAAACUUUCAACAACGGAUCUCUUGGCUCUGGCAUCGAUGAAGAACGCAGCGAAAUGCGAUAAGUAAUGUGAAUUGCAGAAUUCAGUGAAUCAUCGAAUCUUUGAACGCACAUUGCGCCCGCCAGUAUUCUGGCGGGCAUGCCUGUUCGAGCGUCAUUACAACCCUCAGGCCCCCGGGCCUGGCGUUGGGGAUCGGCGGAAGCCCCCUGUGGGCACACGCCGUCCCUCAAAUACAGUGGCGGUCCCGCCGCAGCUUCCAUUGCGUAGUAGCUAACACCUCGCAACUGGAGAGCGGCGCGGCCAUGCCGUAAAACACCCAACUUCUGAAUGUUGACCUCGAAUCAGGUAGGAAUACCCGCUGAACUUAAGCAUAUCAAUAAGGCGGAGGAA
rnacentral:rRNA from 1 species